rnacentral:lncRNA from 1 species
UUUUUUUUUUUUUUUUUUUUAAAGCUCCCUGACGACUCAAAUGUUUGCUACUGAAAGAAGGGAUUUGCAGAUACCUGUUAGGUACCAAAGAUAUUUAUUGCAGUGGACUAAGGAAAAAAAUCCAAGCCUGGAGACCCAGGUCCAUUAACCUGGUUGGAGGCCUUAAGAAGAGGCGCCUUGUAGGUAAAGAGCAUUGUAAAAAUAAAUUAGGAGUUUGGGGUAUCAGAAGCCUUGAAGGAUGGUCAGAGGUGAGGGAGCGCUACCUUCCAUGCAGCCUCUCUCUUAUGAGUGACAGCAGUGACAUCCUAGCUCCGGGACUGAGGACUGGCUGCACUGUGGCGUCUUAAGAAAAUAUUCACCACAAGAGUAUGUUCAAAGCAGCUUUAGAUCUUUUCUUUUGUUCCGUUUUAAAGUGGUUUUUGAGCAUUUCACGUCAACUUUCUUGAAAAGUGCUUUGACCAACACCUGAGGCUUGGAAUUGACAAAAAAAAAAAAAAAAAAAAAUGCCCCUGCUUGUAUUUUAUCGCCAAUGCUUGAAUUCUGUUUAAGAUAUUUCUGACAGUAUAGCUAGCUGGAAAGUAACACUUUGGCAUAUAAUUUUUUUGAACUUUUUGACUUUGAUUAAGAAGACAUUUACAGACUGAUAAUAAAAGCAUAUUCUGUUCUCUCUAGGAGACCAUUGUGAUACCCCUGAUAUUACCAUAAUAUUUUGACAUUUCAUUUUAAAGGCUUAUUAUGUAUUGGAGCAAGACCAUAAAAGAGAAAACUUUCAUAAAUUUUAAAAGUGGUGGUGUCCUUCAGUAUUUUCAUGGCUUUUUUCUCCCCCCCCCCCCUUUAGAAGUCUUGCUUUGUAAACAAGGCCUUUGUUUGUCAAACUCCCCUAGGUCAGCAGCUUUUUGAUACUCUAGAGAAAUAAUAAAUCACGAUUUGUGACAUCUUGACAUGCUGCCAUGAGGACAACUGAAUUAUCACAAAUAUAAUGCUAGGCAGUGUUUGCCAGCACUAGCGUAUUGAGGGAGUGUUGAUAGGACCUGAUUUCAACCAGCACAAGUUUUGAUUCCCAUUAUUUGUGGUCAAGAUGAUUUUAAGGGGAGCCAUGGACAAUUUGUUGCUUAACAUGAGUGGACUUGGAGAACUCCCUAUAAAUGAGUCACUUUUCUCCCCAGCAGUAUUUCUGGUGAACAGAUGAGAAAAUUUCCCUAAUGUGAAAGCCAUAUUUGGGAGCUACUUUUCUGAUUUUUUUCUCUUGUCACUUUUUUAUGUGAAAGAAUUAUCUUCUGAAUCACUCCUUGUCCCUAAAUGUGUUCUGGUGGAUUGUUUUCGACCAACAGAGGAUGCUGAAUUCUCUGUCAUCUUUGGAAGACUUUGCAUUAUGGAACUUUAAUCUUUAGCCAGUUGAAAAAGUCCUGGGUCAUUCCGUAAGUGGUUGGGAGCAGAAGAUAUGGAAGGUGGUGAAGCUAUUUAGUAGAGUGUUUAGGAAGGCCUGAGACGUUUCUUUUUUGUACAUAGAAAGUCAUGACUUUCUCUUUCUUUGCCAGAGAAUACAGAAGUCUAAAACUUAGUUCUGCCAGAAUCGUUGUGGAAGACAGCAUGUUUAUUUUGAGGUUAUUUACCAGCAAGUUAAAUGGGAUCUUGCAACGUCGGUUUGGAAAACUUUUAUGACCUUAUUACGGUUUAUUAUCCCUUCUUUUUCUCUCAUGUUAAUAUGGUACUUUUCAUUGACAGUAUUGAGGGUACAUUAAAGAUUUUAAGUAAUACAGGCAUUAAAGAUACAGUCAAAGAUGCUAGAAUAAUUAUACCUUAGCAAAAUAUAGAAUGGAGCUGAUGAAAUUCAGGAGCCAGAUAGCUGGGUCUUUUCGGAUGUUGGGUAUAAGCACCGUUUAGUCUUAAUUAUGAGUGAAUAACUCAUUAAUUCACUCUUUUGGAGUGAUGGUUUAGAUAUGGACUACGGAAUUUGUUUUUGAGAUUUUAUUUAUUUCUUUGAAACAGAGAGGACGAGCAGGGGGAGGGGCGGAGGGAGACAGAGAAACAGACUUUGUGUUGAGCACUGAACAGGACAUAAGGCUCGAUUCCAGGAUCCUGAGAUCAUGACCUGAGCUGAAGGCGGACACUUCACCGACUGAGCCACCCAGGCGCCCAGUCGACAGAAUUUUUGACUGAAAUAUUGACAUAAAUGGUGCCCUUCUGGACUUCCAGAUUUAUAACAUUAUUAUAUAACUAUAACUAUGAAUUGUGAUGGUUUCUUCAUUAUGUAAGACUUGCAGAACAUUCAGACAGUUGUAAUGAGGCUUUAUGCCUGUAUCAUGUAAAACCUUUAAAAAUCGCAGUAUUCCGUCGUAUUUUUGGGUGCGUAAGCAUCAACUUAAGCGUCGCUUUUUACACCAGGACAUUAUCUAUCUAUGGCUCUGCGAGCACUAAUGUUCUUGAAACUGUUUAGAAACAUCGAAUUUAAAUGUGGGGUGACCCUUUUGUGAAUUGUCCAGUAGAACCUAUAGAAGGCUGAAAUAAGUUUGAAAAAGCCACUAAAUAUAAAUAUAAUUCUAACUCCGCCCUCCUCCCCUUCUUUCGAAACCAAAUUCAGUAUUUGGAAAUUUAAAUCACUUAAUAAUAGAAAACAAAUCUCUGACCACAUAUAUUGUUUUAUAGGUUGACAGUGGUCCAAGGGAAAUUGUCUUAUCAGUUUUUGUUUGUGUUUUCCUUGUUUAGGGUGAUUAUGUAUUUCUUCACCUACUUGAUUUGUGUGUUCCAGUUGUCACCAUCCCACUGGAAGAUGAGUCAUUGAUGUGGAAAUUGCAUGUAUAGGAGGAAAGCCCUCUCCCACCUUCCCCCAGUGCUUUUGAAGUGGGCGUAUGUUUACCUUUGCAGUAUCUGCACCUCUUCUGUACUUUACUGCUGUGCUGUAUUCAUGUGUGUGCUAAAAUGCUGUAACUCUAAAAAAUAAACAAUCUACAGGGCACCUGAGUAACUCAUUAGGUUAAAUGUCUGCCUUUGGCUCAGGUCAUGAUCCCAGGGUCCUGGAAUCGAAUCCCAUAUUGGACUCCCUGCUCAGCUGGGAGUCUGCUUCUUCUCCUUCUGCUCCUCCCCCUAUCUCUGCUAGUGCUUUCUCUCUCUCUCUCUCUUUCUCUCUCUCUCUCAAAUAAAUAAAUAAAAUCUAAAAAAAAAUAAGAUAAAUAAACAAUCUACAAUUGAGAAUUUGUGUUUUAAAGAACGUACCUAAGCAUCUGUGGUAAACUGCACAGGCCUUGUAAUGCAGGAAGAGGUCAGGGUGAGCUGUCACGGGCCCAUGGGGUGGCCUUGCAGCCAGAGGAGGGCAGGGGUGUGAGUGUUGGGGUGCAGAUCAUCAGAAGAAAUUCCAGAGAUCACAGAGACUGAUCGGAAAAAUCCACGAGAAGGCACUUGACCUGACUAUUCAGGGAGGUUCCAGUUGGGGAGAAUUGGUGGAAGAUGACAUUGGAGAUGAUAGAAAGACUUGAUGUCCAGGCUAAUGCAUGAAUAUUUUAUCUAGUGUGUAUUGGAGGCUUGUGUCAGAAGUUUUGAUCAAGGGAAUCCAUGAGCAAAAACAUUCUAGAUUAAUCCGUGGUCUCAAGUCCAGGGUAGGUAUUGAAGCCGUUGAAAGGAUCCUGGAGAUAAUGUACAUUUUUACACCAUAACUCAUAAGGUGUCUUCAGAGGUAAUAUUUUACUUGAUUCGUAUCAGAAUUGCAGUUGUAGCCUGAGACUAUUUUGCCUGUUUUGUAGAUGAAGAUCUCGAAACUUGAAGAACUCCAAUGAACUAUGGUGGUGGUUUUUUUUAAAUGGCACGCUCAUCUGUAAAUGGCCAUGAUCCGUUUUAAUUGCAGUGAAGGUGAAGGGUUCCUUCUUGAACUUUUGUUGCUACUGUGAAAGUCAGGGCAAGUGGGGGCAUGUCAAAACCCGGCUGUCAUAUACCUGGGGCUCAUUUGGCAAGUAAGGGUUGCAUUCUGCUGCUGGGUCAUUGCAUCUCAGCCAGAAGAGUUUUAAAAAUAUAUAUUUCAGACUCUUAUAUGUUUAGUAUAUAAAUACCAUUAUCUUAGCAGAUAGAGAAGAAAGUGGCUAUCAUCGUUCUUAUCAGCAUCCCAAAUGAGGUUGUUCUGCAAAGGGGCCUAAUAGAACCUAGGAGAGAUGGUUGUGUGUGUAAACGUACGCAAGACGUUACAGGUCAGGGUGGCAUGCCCUGAAACUAGCUUUUGUUGGUUUCGUUGCUGUGGUUUGGUUUUGACCAAUUACCUAGCAAUUUAGGUUCAACUAAAUGUUGGAAAAGGUAGUAAUCCAUGAUAACCUUUAUAACUACCAAUGGACGUGGGUCCUGCGUUAGAAGGAUGCUCCAUCGUAGUACUCUUUUGUUGAGGGCCUUCUUCUGAUACUUGGGGUUUUCUCGUAACCACCCUCCUCCAGGGACUUUUUCCUUGGUGCAAACCUCGGGUGUCCUCCUGGAGGAGGUCCUGGGAUUGUAUGAUAGGCAGGCUUUUUGUGAGAAAGCAAUCCACCGCCCCUGCAGGGUGAUGAUGUUAAGUGCCAAGUUUCUGUCGAGCAUCGCCUGGGGAUGGUGGGGGCAAGAAUUAGCUGCUGCAGUGUUUGUGUUCCCUCUCAUCCCACACAGAGCUGCCCACCCCCCCACGCCCUGAGCCUUGGCCAGGUUUUAACUCUGGGCAAGGACAGUCCCAGGGCAGGUUAUUUAAAGGAAGGGCAGCCACGAACGUUGUAAUUUGCUUCCUUGACUGUACAACCGAAGGGCCCACAGAAGCCUGACAAAUAGAGCACCGUGUUUUAAUCCAGCCCCUGUUUUUGUUUUAAGAUUUUAUUUACUUAUUCAUGGGAGACAUACAGAGAGAGGCAGAGGGAGAAGCAGGCUCCCUGUAGGGAGCAUGCUGCGGGACUUGAUCCCAGGACCCCAGGAUCACAACCUGAGCCAAACUCAGACACUCAACCACUGAGCCAUGCAGGUGCCCAAUCCAGCCGCUUUUUAAGAUCUAGUUGACUUCGAGUGGGGAAGCUAAAAGUGAACAGUUUAGCACACGAAGGAAAGAAGAAUGUAUUCCAUCAGUAAGGCCACUGAAUCAGUGACAGGUCAUUUUUGUCAUGACACAAUGCACCUUAUUUAUGAUGGGGAAAAAGUCACAGGAAUUUCCAUGUCUGUCAAGCUUUGAAAGAGCACUAGGAGGAAAAUGCUUUCCAGGUUUUUCUCGAGUCUUGGGUCCAGGAUCAUGUAAUGUUUCACACUAGGCCCAGCGUGGUUUUUCACGGUGCGGAGUGUUUAAAGUUGUAUGUCUCAGAUGGAGAGGCAGGAGGACUUUGGUCAUGUCUCACCGUCUAUCCAGGCAACCUUGGUCUCUAAAAAAGAAACUUCUGGUAGAUUUAUGUCCUUUAUCUCCACUGCCGUUCUUACCCACUGCCCGCUCCCCCGUUAAGAAUAGCAGCGCUUCUGUUCUACUUGGAGAGAUGUUGCUACUUCUUGUAGGGGAAUUAUCAAUUCCUUUAUAGAGAAAGCUACAUAGAAAAGCGAGAAGCCCUUCAGGUCAGGAGAUGUUCUGAAUCAGCAAACAGACAUAAAAAGAACUCUUAUCUUAACUAUCUCCUGAGCCUUGCAGUUCUCCCGAAACAGCCAGAAAGACUUGAAAAAGACUGAGCUAUUCUCAGGGCUGUGAGCGGGGCCUAAUUUUUAUUUCUAAUGUUUCACCUUUGACCCGUACCCCAGUCUUUCUGUAAGUCCAGCAGCAUGAUAAAGAUGCGCUGCAAGGCCAGGAUCUGGCCAUGCUUGGUGAAGACUUAUUUAAGAGGUGCUGUCUGGUCGGGGUGGUUGUAUCUCCCCGAAACUCUCCAUGACUCGAAAGCAAACGUGUCUGGGAGACAUCCAGUUAUUUAUCUGUCUGUUUGUUUAUUUAUUGAUUUAUUUCUAUGUAUUUUUUUUCCCAAGGCCUAGCUGAAAUGGCACCUUCUCCAGGAAGCCUUCCCUCAUCCUCUCUUCCUUCCUCCACCCAGGCUGCAAGCAGUCUCUCCUGUCCACCCUUAGCUGUGUAUGCCUUCUUGUCCUGCAGGAGUUUCCAUUUGCUUUCGUUUUUGUUUUAAACAUUUAUCUGCUUAUUCAUGGGAGACACACAGAGAGAGGCAGAGACACAGCAGAGGGAGAGGCAGGCUCCCCCCUGCAAGGAUCCCGAUGCGGGACUCAAUCCCAGGACCCUGGAAUCACACCCUGAGCCGAAGGCAGAUGCUCAACCACUGAGCCAGCAGGUGCCCCAAAGAGUUUCCAGUUGUUUCCCACCCCACCCCCCAUGCUAUUUAUGGAUAAGUCCCCUUUUCCUAUCUGACUUGCAGAGCCUUGGGGGAAGCCCUUGGGGCCUCUUUGUACAUCCUACACUCCUUGUGCCUGGUGGAAAUUCGGGACAGUUGGCAAUAGAUAAGUAAACGGGGCCUCUGGAUAUUUGGUUGGACAUUACCAACCUUUGCUCAUGAGCUGUGUCCACCUCACAUUCUCUCCAGGGCUUCUCUGAACUUCACCGAUUGGUCUGUCAUCACAGCCAAACCCUGUCUGGCACAGUAUCCCUCCCAUUGCUUCCAUCUUGGCUUCUAGGCCAUUCUCUCUGCGUCCCUAUGCACGGUGGCACUCCAGCCACAGUGGAAACCCUCCACCCUGGUGGAUGGCCUUGCCCUGGGCUGGGAUGAGAGAUCAGAAGUUCCCGCUUACAGACGUGACUUUGGGCCAGCGGCAUGGUCCCUUGCUGACUUCCCACCCUCAUCUCUCGAAGGAGGAUGUGACAAAAUGUGUCCUCAACUCAGCGUUGUUCAGAUUGCUGUGAAGGCCACGCGAGCGUGUUUAAAUAUUACCACGAGAGGGCCGGGUGGUCAGUAUUCCAGCUGAUUGCCGAGGGACAGCAAGGUGUAUGUUUGGUCGCGGUUGUCAUGGUUGGACUGGCGACCCUUAAAAUUCCAGGAAGUUGAACUCCUAUUAAAUAUGCUGAUGGGUGUGCUGGGGCUCCGAGCUAAGGAGGGAGGGAAGGAGGUUUGGGCUGAGGGAAGGUGUCUGCGGUGGUUGCAGCUGUGGGAAGCUCCGCUCCGACUUUUAUUUUUAAAAACACACACUCCCCGGUUGUAAAGGCAGGGUCAGGACACAGAGAAAGAUAGGGUGUCCUGCUGAAAAUGUCUUGGCCAAGAACACAGUGACCAGUCCUCGGGGAGCACAUGAGCAGGAGGAUGGGGACUCGCGGUGCCAGGGCAUGGGGAGGCUGGGGUUGCCAGGCUUUACCGACCCCCCACCCUGGACACCUUUCCUUCAUUAUUUCAACCACUUAACUGUGGAACAGGCUGUGCUCUUCUACAUUGUGACAAUGUAUAACUGUCCCCACCUUACCACCCAACAUGAAAGAGAAGCAGAUUUUGAGCAGAUUUUGAGCGUGAGCUUGUGCACAGACACACGGCUCCUACCCUGUCCAGGUGGUCUGGGCCGUCCCUCCGCUGGCCGUCCCCGCUGUGCCCACUGCCUUCGCUGCCUGUCUGUGCCCGUCAUCAGUGCAUUGAAGGAGGAGGAAAAGGGUUCGAUUCCUAGGGACGCCGGCGGCAUGGUUGGUGAAGGAGCAGCCCAGUUGGCCAACACUGGACUUUAAACCAUAACCCCAAGACCUUGGUCACAACCCGCGCCUCCCCCUGCCUGAGAGCUGUGGGAACGUCUAGCAGCCUGCAGAAAUGAGGAGCGGGGAGAAGAGGCCAGGGCAAUGACCUCCUCUUUGAGAGUCACUCCUCUUCAGGAUACCGGGGUGCUAGUGCAAGGCAGGAAUCCAGGGGCGGCCCAGGUCCUGCCAUGGAGGUACCCCGACGUAUGCCACCGCUCACCAGGUUGGAGCACGGGGGCAAGAGGCUCUGAGUCCCUAGUGGGCAGGUGCAGGAAGCGUGGAGAUACCCUUCUCUGAAGCCCAGAAGGACCACAGAGACUGUCGAGGAAGAGCACUCUGCCCCAGGCCCCAGGGUCGGUGACAGCCCUGGGACACGAGAGGACCAAGUGGAACCCCGCGUCUCGGGACACCCAGUCAGGACAGCCAGAGUGUCCCAUUCGAGGUGUACGAUUGUCCCGGAUUCCUGCCUCAGCUGUUAGCAGGGGGCAAGGCGCCUCAGCUGUUAAAACUUCACUGUUUCUCUGGGCUACUACUUUCUCUCUUUUGUUUUUUUGUCUUGUUUUGUUUUUGUUUUUGUUUUUGUUUUUGUUUUAAUCUGUGCUGCUUCUCGGACACAUGCAGGAGGCCCAUGCAUUGGGCCGUUCUCUGCUUAUUAAGAAGUUUCUUCUACAACACGUUCCUGUGUUCACAUUCCACUUAAGUGUCCAGUAUUUUUCCACUCUUCUUCUCAUCUGUUUUCCUCUUUUAGGAGUUUCCCUUAACAAAAAACGAGGAGCAUUUAAAAUUUUUUUUUUCUUUUUUUUUCUUAUGGGACCGUAUACAAGGCAUCACAGCACUCGGCCAGAUUCCCCGCCGAAAGCGGUCGCAGAGGCACGAGGUAGUGCUGCGGGGUAACGUACACUAAAACAUACAUAAAAUGUGGAAACUGGGACUGCCAGGCGGUGUGUUUGUCUCUUCAUUGUUCAAACUGGUGGUAGGUUACCGGAAUAGCUAUUGAAGCCCAUUUCAAGGUAAACCAUAACAGGAAGUAAGCAAUU